AGCAGUGCGAAAAAAGACAUAGACAAAUUUACGUUGUGCUUGCACAAAAGUAAAUUUGUCUAUGUCUUUUUUCAUAGGGCGAACGCCCGUCAGCGAGAUGGAGCGAAGCGGAAUCGAGCGGCCACUGCG
rnacentral:sRNA from 1 species